rnacentral:rRNA from 1 species
AUUGAACGCUGGCGGCAUGCUUUACACAUGCAAGUCGAACGGUAACAGGCCGCAAGGUGCUGACGAGUGGCGAACGGGUGAGUAAUGCAUCGGAACGUGCCCAGUCGUGGGGGAUAACUACUCGUAAGAGUAGCUAAUACCGCAUACGAUCUAUGGAUGAAAGCGGGGGACCGUAAGGCCUCGCGCGAUUGGAGCGGCCGAUGUCAGAUUAGGUAGUUGGUGGGGUAAAGGCUCACCAAGCCAACGAUCUGUAGCUGGUCUGAGAGGACGACCAGCCACACUGGGACUGAGACACGGCCCAGACUCCUACGGGAGGCAGCAGUGGGGAAUUUUGGACAAUGGGCGCAAGCCUGAUCCAGCAAUGCCGCGUGAAGGAAGAAGGCCUUCGGGUUGUAAACUGCUUUUGUACGGAACGAAACGGCUCUGGUUAAUACCCGGGGCUAAUGACGGUACCGUAAGAAUAAGCACCGGCUAACUACGUG